UGGCUCAGUUGGUAGAGCAUGGCACUUUUAAUGCCCGGGUUGUGGGUGUGAUUCCCAC
rnacentral:tRNA from 1 species